GAUGGAGUGGAAGACGGCGGCGUCUGAAGGCUCACUGUCAUUCACCAGUGGCUCCAGUCUGGUUUGGGGGUCUACCCUUUCUCAUCCUGGCCUGCCAGCCAAGUAAAAUGCUGUGAGU